rnacentral:rRNA from 1 species
UAGCCUACGGGGGGCAGCAGUGGGGAAUAUUGCACAAUGGGGGAAACCCUGAUGCAGCGACGCCGCGUGAGUGAGGAAGUAUUUCGGUAUGUAAAGCUCUAUCAGCAGGGACGAAGCAAGUGACGGUACCUGACGAAUAAGCCACGGCUAACUACGUGCCAGCAGCCGCGGUAAUACGUAGGUGGCAAGCGUUAUCCGGAUUUACUGGGUGUAAAGGGCGUGUAGGCGGGGAGGCAAGUCAGAUGUGAAAACCACGGG